GGUGAGGUAAAGCACCACCUCUGCUCCCACCCACCAGAUCCUGGUCCAUCCUCACAUUAACGCGCGGCGCCCGUCAGGCAGCUCCAGUGUCUUUCACCUAAAUUACAGCCACGACCACCGGGAGCCAUCGGCGUUCCUCAGACAGGAUGGGCCUCCUGCCGCUGUUCACCUCCACGCUCCUGUUCAGCUGGACAACUUUGAAUGCAGCUUUAAAAAUAACAAAAGUGGACCUGUCCAUCGAGCCCAGUGCUGCUGUGUAUAGAGACACCAACGUGGCUUUGAGAUGCAAGGCCGAGGUUCUCGCCUUCGGGACGGAGGCACUGAAUCGUGUGUACACCAUAUACAAAGGUGACAGUGUAAUCUACAACAAGACAACCAGCUCCUCUGAGGAUUUGCUCUACCACCUGCCUCAGGCCAGAGUCUCCAACAAUGGCAAGUACAAGUGCAAGAUAAGCAUCAUGGGAGAGGAGAAGGCCAGUGAAGCUGCAACACUCACAGUGGAAGGCAUGUCAACGCCCAUUCUCCGCUUCAACAAAGCUAAUAUCACUGAGGGGGAAUCAGUAACAGCCACAUGUUUAGCACCAGGAGAGACGGGUUCCCUUUUGUUCAGCUUCUAUGAUAACUCCAAGGAAGUCGAAAAUGCCAGGGUGACCUCCAACGAACUCACGUUUGUCCCUAAAGGCGUUGGGAACCACAUUAUUCACUGCUCCUACUUGGUCUUCAUCAUGCCAAACUCAUUCAAGUCCCAAACAAGCAACACAGUCACUCUUACCGUUGAAGAACUUUCCAUCGAACCAGUCCUGAAGAUUUCCCCUCAGGAUAAUGUCUACGAAGGUGACACUGUCAACAUCACUUGCUCGGUUAGUAAUGUUACGAAGGACUACCAAGCUGGAGAGCUCUUGCUGAGUCAGGACACCGAACUACUCAAGAGUGGAAAAACAUCUAUCCAUGUUAGCUGGACUGCACAUGCAAGAACCCCAAUGCUUACCAUUAAAUGCCGGCUGUAUCUGAGAGAUGUAGUAAAAGUCGUCAACAAGACAGUUUCAGUGAGCGAGCUGUUCUCCGUGCCCACUCUCAAGAUGUCUGCUCUCGAAGUCUUCCAAGAAGAUGAAAUUAGUCUAACAUGCAGAAGUGAGAAACUGUCUUAUGAUAGACUUGAAGGAGAAUUCCUCAUUUACAGUCUUGAACCUUUUGACUACCAUAUGGUUCAAAAAGGGAAUGGAGUAUUCGUUGGUAAAGCCAAGACAAUUGAUUUCAACUAUACAUGUACAGCUGCUGCAAAGGGCAUCAAGAAGAAGAGCAAUGUGCUGACAAUUCAUCCUAAAGUUCCUGUCUCGACUCCAAAGAUCUGGGUCUCUGGCAGUGCAAUCCUCGGGAGGAAAGUUGAAAUCUUCUGUCUGUCAGACACAGGCACCCCACCCAUUACAUACACCCUGUUGAAGGCUAACAAACAAAACCAAAUUGCCAUUGUUCAUGAGUUCAAUAAAGCUGCUAACUUUACAAUCGUCAUCAAUGAACCUGGAAGACUAAACCACUACCUUUGCACAGCAAGUAAUGGGGACAGAGCGCCUGAGCUAAGUGAUAAACUCCAAACAGCUGUCAUUGAGCCAAUGACUGAAGCAUAUCUGAUGGUCGUUCCUGACGUCGAUGACAUUUCCGAAGGACAUACGGUCAUCCUCAUUUGUUCCUUCUUGGGCACACCACCUGUAACAGUAAGGUGGCUCCGGGACAGUGAUGGUCUAAAUCCACUGAAGACCACAACCACAAAUAUUAACACCACAAACUACGAAUUCGUUGUGAAUAAGGAACACACCGACAAUUACUACUGCCAGGCUGAGAACCGAGCCAACUCUGUUGAAAGUAAUAAAAUCAACUUAGUAGUCGGCAUGGCAAUGUGGAAGAAAUUACUGAUUCCUGGGACCAUAAUACUGGUGGUUUCCUCACUCGUGAUGGUGGGCUUUAUUCUGUUCACAAGAUCCAGGAGAGGAACUGGUGAAGGGUGUUCAGACUUAUCAGGUGGUUCAGACGAUGCGGCAGAGUUUGGAUGCAGCAGAUUAUAGGAAGUAUUUGGUGUGUUUUGCAUGUUUGUAGACAGAAACAUAAUUUUUCUUUCAACAUUAUAUUCCUUGUUCCGGUAGUGCAUAUUUAUAUGGAGCCAAAAGGGUCACGUGGAUUUAAGAUUCAAUAAAUACAAUCCUAGUGAAAUAAAUAAUUGUUUCACUUAUAUUUACUAUUGUUGUCAUGCAGGGUAUUAUACAUUAUUUAUUAUUUAUUUACCUUUUAAAUAUAGCCACUUUUGUUAACGGCCGAAAGAUGAAUUGUUUCAUGAUAAACCACAGAACAGAAACCGUGAAAUAAUUAGAUAAAUAAUCACUUAGAUUUGCAUAGAACCAACAUUUUCAAGAAUUGCAUCUUGUUAAUUCUGUUGUAAUAAUAAUAAUAAUAAUAAUAAUAAUAAUAUAUAAAAUAUUUAGAAGCAGCUGCUUCUUGUCUUUGUUCAAGAUGUCUAUCUUAAAAUCUCAAAUGAGUUUUAUGGGUUUUGGGAUGUAUUUACUGAAUGAUGAGACUUUUGCUUUAAUUAGUAAACAUUGGGGUUUUUUUCAUUUUAUUAUUAUACAUGAAUUAAAGCUAUCAGACCAUUGCUGAAUAAAUAUUAACCAAAGAAAACAACGUUCUACAGUUGUUCUGUGGUUGACUACCUCACUGAAUCAGUUUGCAUAUCGUGAACACGGUAUGCUGAUUUUUGUUUUUACUUGAGUCAGUUCCUGUUUCAAGUACUUUCUUGUCAAGUUGUUUCUUAUUUGUCACAGUUAUGUUUUUCUUAUUGGAACCUUUUUCUGGAGUCAAUUUAGAGUAAAGGUAGAUUUAUACUGAUGCAUUUUUGUUCCAAGACUUAUGGAUAAGAGAGAAAUAUGGGCGGAAACCACAAUUACGCGAUUACAAUGUCUACAACAUGCAAAACACCUUGUCUAGUUUCUUUACCAUUUAUCUGAAGUGUUUUUCUUGACGUCACGUUUGCCUGCAGCUGACUUUAUUUUCACCAUUUCUCAGAAAGCCUGCGAGCCCUAAAUCAGAUGACUCUUUAACAGUGACUCUAACCCACGACACAGAGGUUUAUAAUGCAGCCACAGACGCAGCGUCGUUCUGUGAUG